GAUGAACGCUGGCGGCGUGCCUAAUACAUGCAAGUCGAGCGAACGGACGAGAAGCUUGCUUCUCUGAUGUUAGCGGCGGACGGGUGAGUAACACGUGGAUAACCUACCUAUAAGACUGGGAUAACUUCGGGAAACCGGAGCUAAUACCGGAUAAUAUUUUGAACCGCAUGGUUCAAAAGUGAAAGACGGUCUUGCUGUCACUUAUAGAUGGAUCCGCGCUGCAUUAGCUAGUUGGUAAGGUAACGGCUUACCAAGGCAACGAUGCAUAGCCGACCUGAGAGGGUGAUCGGCCACGCUGGAACUGAGACACGGUCCAGACUCCUACGGGAGGCAGCAGUAGGGAAUCUUCCGCAAUGGGCGAAAGCCUGACGGAGCAACGCCGCGUGAGUGAUGAAGGUCUUCGGAUCGUAAAACUCUGUUAUUAGGGAAGAACAUAUGUGUAAGUAACUGUGCACAUCUUGACCGUACCUAAUCAGAAAGCCACGGCUAACUACGUG
rnacentral:rRNA from 1 species